rnacentral:rRNA from 1 species
AACGAACGCUGGCGGCGUGGAUUAGGCAUGCAAGUCGAACGCGAAAGAGGGGGGUAACUCCUCGAGUAGAGUGGCGAACGGGUGAGUAACACGUGAGAAACCUGCCUUCAGCAGGGGGAUAACACUCCCAACGGGGUGCUAAUACCGCAUGAGACCACGGAUUCGCAUGGAUCUGGGGUCAAAGGUGGCCUCUGCUUGCAAGCUACCGGCUGAAGAUGGUCUCGCGCCCAUUAGCUAGUUGGUGGGGUAAUGGCCCACCAAGGCGACGAUGGGUAGCUGGUCUGAGAGGAUGGUCAGCCACACUGGGACUGAGAUACGGCCCAGACUCCUACGGGAGGCAGCAGUCGAGAGGCUUUGGCAAGUGGGGAA